CCUACGGGAGGCAGCAGUGGGGAAUAUUGCUCAAUGGGCGAAAGCCUGAAGCAGCAACGCCGCGUGGGGGAUGAAGGUCUUCGGAUUGUAAACCCCUUUCGACCGGAACGAAUCCCCUCCUGGUGAACAAUCAGGAGGAUCGACGGUACCGGGAGAAGAAGCCACGGCUAACUCUGUGCCAGCAGCCGCGGUAAGACAGAGGUGGCAAGCGUUGUUCGGAUUUACUGGGCGUAAAGCGCACGCAGGCGGUUGGGUAAGUCAGAGGUGAAAGCCCACGGCUUAACCGUGGAAUUGCCUUUGAUACUGCCUUUCUCGAGUGCAGGAGGGGGAAGCGGAAUUCCCGGUGUAGAGGUGAAAUUCGUAGAUAUUGGGAGGACCACCUGUGGCGAAGGCGGCCCCCUGGUCCACACCUGACGCUGAGGUGCGAAAGCGUGGGGAGCAAACAGGAUUAGAUCCCCUGGUAGU
rnacentral:rRNA from 1 species